GAAGAGAUUGGAGUAUUGAAAGCUGUGAUGUCUUAGUGUCCCUUGCUAGAGCAAACUCUGGCCUCAGUAACCUACCUCUACCUGGAGGCUGCUGGCACUGAGGUGGGUUACAUGUUG
ensembl:snoRNA